GGAAUAUCAAUAUAGUCUGCAAUAUUUACCAACUACAAAAGGUGUGACAUAGUAGGAAUCAAUUUAACCAUCACAAUUCUAGUACCUACUACACACACAUUAGGUACAGAUGCCAAAUCUUAAUUUGAUCAUCAUAAAAAUAUAUUUGCUUAAGAAUAUUUGUGGCAAGGAAUGAGAAUUUGUUGUGGGAUUAAGGCUUCAAUUAAUGGCUUCAAACACUUAUUACAUUUGUAACAUUCUGUUCCUAUUCCUGAGUACACUGUUGAGAAUCCUAUUAACAAGAGCCGAGACAUAGCUUCACCUUAAAUUAACAAUUGGCCCACACGUUUCAAAAUGUCCCACUGAGACUAGCAAUAAUACCGGACGUAGCUAAUUAUAAAUGUCAGCAUGUGUCAACCCCAUCAGGCCAACUUAAAGACAUAUCAAAUGCAUAUCUGUACACUAAUCCUCAGCACUGAUUCUCUCUCAGCAGCUACUGUACCAAGUGUCAGCUUAUUCACUGCUGAUGGAUACCCGAUUCUCCACUGGGAGGUUUCUGAUGGCCGCAGCACUGUGUUGACAGAAGUGUCAGGACCUUAAUGAUUCUCACCCAGGGAGAUUGGUACUUUCUUUUGUAUCGUCUCCCCUCCUUGACUGUCUUAGACCUGGAAACCAUGCAGAGCUAGACAAGAACCAGCAAACAGCACCAAGACAGAACCUCCGGAGAUACAGUCAGAGGGACGUGCCACUCCUACCCAGAGUGGUGUAUUGUCAUUUGGCUGGCCUCCCUGGACCAGCCCACCAUUGCUCCAGUGUGAUUUCGUGGGAAUACGUCCAGGAAUUUCACAUGUCUACCCCGUGAGUGGCACAUAGAAGCAUGCAUUUCCUAACUUUAUCGAUCUCUAUCAGUGUGUGUCUGUUUCAUAGUCUUUGAUCUCUCUAUUAACUUGGAGGGUUUCAUGCUUUUCAUUUUGGACGCUAUAGGUCAGCGUGUCUCUCAUUCACAGCAGUUCACCCAGUUCCCUACAGGUGAGUGACAGGGGCCUCGGGGGUCACAGGUGAACGCGACACUGCAGGUAUAAAUCCAUAUUCACACACUCUUCCAUCAGUUUUGAUAAGGUCACUUUGACUGGCUGAAACGCUUGGGUGUCCCAUCACAUUCAUUUUCAAUGAUUAUUGAUAUUGUUGCUAUGAUGUGGUUAUGGCUCCACAUUAUUUAUAGGUUAUGGGCUUUGGUAUGCUCCUGUUCAUCUGAAACACUAAAUGUGAAAUGUAAUCUUAAGUGUCGCUCUCUUAAUGAUAGGCGUGCUAAGUGGUUGUGCAAUAACUUCAAAUCAACACUACCUAUUAUUAUAGGCUUAGCACACACGGCAUAACAUCUUCCAAAUCCAGUCAUGCCGCCAGUCCUAAUUUUACAAUACCUUUGAGCUUUUAUUAUAUUUAAGAUCAUAUUUUCGAUUUUUAUCCAUAACGGCCAAGGCAUAGAUCUAAAAUAGUCCUGUUUUGUUGUAGUAACUGCUGAUUUUAGAGAAAAAUUGCUGAAAGACUUGUUUGUUGUUAUGGGUCAUUUAUGGAUGGCACUAAUAAAUACUGUUGGGUCUGAUCCACCAGGGUCCGCUAGAGCAAAUUCUCCAGAGAUGGUUUUCAUUGUCCUGAUAUGACCCUGCCAUGCCCCCAGUGGAGACAGAAUGCUUUUCAUAGUCCUGACAUCAGCCUGUCAUGGCCCAGCGAGGACAGUGUCAGUGACAGUUUCACUCUUGAUAGUAGUUGAGAUAAAAAUGUCUGCUAGCAGAUGAGGACACUGCAGUCUGAGAGACUUCAGAGUUUGAGAAUAGCUCGAGGAUGAAGUGUGUAUCCGGUUCAGUGUACAAACACGUAGAAAAAAUGCGGGUUCACAUCCUGUUCGUUUUUUUCAUUACGAACAUAUAUACACACACACACACACAUUAUAUAUGUAUACAUACAUAACACUUUAUUCAUUCUGUCAGUCCAUUGAUAUGUAAAUGGGUGUGAAAGUAUUUUCACAGUAGCGUGUGUGCUCAACUUCCAGUGUGUCUGCAUACACCCUAACCCUCGUGGGAAUGACAUACCACAUGUCUGCCUCCUGUAACUGUGUGCUCAUCUGAGAGGAAUUGAGAGGAACAGGAGGGCUGACCGCUUCCAACCAGGCAGCUGUUUGUAUUGUCAGUCAGAGACCUAUCAGGGGAUUAGAGGUGAAUUCUAGUUCCACAGCUGAAGGUUCCAUUUUUAGAGGCCUACUGAGAAAGAACAGCAUUUUAUUUGGUCAUUACCAAGGACAGGGUAAUAGUUGUAUAAGCAGAGUUGCAGGUUUAUUUGCUGGGUGAUACUGAUCUGAUGUAUGCUAUACUCUGGUCAUGAUAAUGUGUUCCUCAAAUGACAGUGUGUUCCUCAGAAUAUGUUUGGAGUUCACUGCAUGUAUACUCAUUUGAAAUAAAUACUCCAUACACCCAA